rnacentral:rRNA from 1 species
AGAGUUUGAUGGUGGCUCAGGAUGAACGCUAGCGGGAGGCCUAACACAUGCAAGUCGAGGGGUAACAUUGUAGCUUGCUACAGAUGACGACCGGCGCACGGGUGAGUAACGCGUAUGCAACCUGCCUUUGACAGGGGGAUAGCCCGGAGAAAUCCGGAUUAAUAUCCCAUGGUAUUUACGAAUCGCAUGGUUUGUAAAUUAAAGAUUUAUCGGUCAAAGAUGGGCAUGCGUGACGUUAGCUAGUUGGUAAGGUAACGGCUUACCAAGGCUGCGAUGUCUAGGGGUUCUGAGAGGAUGAUCCCCCACACUGGUACUGAGACACGGACCAGACUCCUACGGGAGGCAGCAGUGAGGAAUAUUGGUCAAUGGGCGCAAGCCUGAACCAGCCAUCCCGCGUGAAGGAAGACUGCCCUAUGGGUUGUAAACUUCUUUUCUGCACCAAGAAUGGUUACUACGUGUAGUGAUUUGACGGUAGUGCAGGAAUAAGCAUCGGCUAACUCCGUGCCAGCAGCCGCGGUAAUACGGAGGAUGCAAGCGUUAUCCGGAUUCAUUGGGUUUAAAGGGUACGUAGGUGGCCAAUUAAGUCAGUGGUGAAAUCCUGCCGCUUAACGGUAGAACUGCCAUUGAAACUGGUUGGCUUGAGUACAGUUGAGGUAGGCGGAAUGUGUAGUGUAGCGGUGAAAUGCUUAGAUAUUACACAGAACCCCGAUUGCGAAGGCAGCUUACUAAACUGUAACUGACACUGAGGUACGAAAGCGUGGGGAGCGAACAGGAUUAGAUACCCUGGUAGUCCACGCUGUAAACGAUGCUCACUCGCUGUAUGCGAUACAUUGUAUGCGGCCAAGCGAAAGUCUUAAGUGAGCCACCUGGGAGUACGUUGGCAACAGUGAAACUCAAAGGAAUUGACGGGGGCCCGCCACAAGCGGAGGAACAUGUGG